GUAUUAGUGCAGCAAUACAUAUACUAAAAUAGGGACGACACAGAUAUUAACAUGGCCCCUGUAAAAGGAUGACACGCAAAUUCGUAAAGCAUUUCAUUUUAUU
rfam:Octopus bimaculoides Scaffold23686_contig_10, whole genome shotgun sequence.